CUCAGGUCCCCAGCUCCCCGAUCCCCUCACCCCACCUCUGUCUACCCACAACCGCAUACACGUUCCCCUUGCAGAUCAAUUUUUGCCAAUGGGUGCCGAGCGCUACUCCUGGUCUCACCAUCCAGCAGGUGCAGCAGGACCGGAAGUCCCAGCGUAGACUCACCCGGGACAUCCACAUGAGACUGCUCUGGCUACACCCGCUGCCAGCUCGCACGUGCACAGAGCAGCCCCAAUCAGAAACCAGCACCAACACUAGGACAUCUCUGAAGACAUAGGCACUUGUGUCACCAGCAACUUACCGAACUUGGCAGUGGACGAGGCCUCGGUGGGGCACGUCCUCAAGAGCUAAACCUUAGCCCUUCAUAUAUCACCCCAGAAAAGAGAUGAAGCAGGCCCUUGAGCCUGUGGUUUCGGAUCCACUCCAGCUCCUUCUGAAGCCAGCGCAGGGCAGGGUGUGCUUGGACCCCAAGCUCCGCAGCCCAACCUCAGUCUCCAUCACCGCCUCCUCCAGGCAUCCCGUCUGUCCUGCCCUGCCCAGCACCCAGAACGCAGUGACCCAGGGCAGGCCCAGUGAACGUUCGUUACAUGAAGGGAGGAGAAAAACCAUAAAGCAAAGAAAGAACGAGAGGAAGAGGCAAGCAGCGGGGUAGCAGGUCCAGGGAGGGGGUGAAUGGAGCUGGGUCCCUCACCCUCCCAUGUUAUGCUCGUGCGUUUUUGGUGACAGCAGGGGCCGAACUAUGCGACCGGCCUGGCCCUUCUAACCCAGGACAUCAGGCGUCUCUGGUCAAAGGGAAGCCAGGUGCUGAGCUCCUGGCUCCCCCCUCCCCAGCCACCCAGGCAGCUCCAGCCACCCUCCGCCCAGUCAGGGAGGCAGGCCGGGAGGCCAGUUCCUCUGGGUGACUCUCCACCAACCACCCAUGUGCAGAGCAAACAAAGCGUCCACGUGGGCGUGUAUGACUUAUGGCUUUAAUCUCCCUGAUAGAAGGCCUUUAAAGAUUAUUUCAGGGAUGAAAAAAAAUAAUCCUGGGUAAUGAAUCACGGCCUUAAGAAGCUGAUAAGCAGCAGGGAAGCUGGCGGGGCCUGAGUUCCUGAUUUAAUUAAAGUCUUACGGAUACUCCCUGAAACAAAAUCCAUUGUAGCCAUCAAGGUGAUAAAAAGACUGCAGGUUCCUUUAAACUAACUCACCUGCCUUGUGAAUCUUCUUCCCAGUGAAGAGGACAGAUGAGGAGGCGGUGUCCUCGGGACCCAGGGCUGCAUUGCUGCAGAAGGCCCCGUCUGGGGCUGCCAGGGACCCCUGGGGUAUAGCAGGUGAGUGACGGAGCCCAAGAGCUAAAGCUGAUCGUUAGAUCUUUAGAGCCUGGAGGACGCAGGAUAAUAAGCUCAGACAGGGAGUAGGACCCUGUGAGUCCUUAGGUCACCCGCUGGCCCUCUCUGGGACUCAGGUUCCAAUCUAACAGCGGGGGAAUGAGUCCGGUUGGUCUCUGAGAGGCAUCCCCAAGCUGGCUUUCAGGGUCCUACGCCCCAUGUUCCCCACGGAGGGGAAGAGACACGGGUGGUACCUUCACAUGGGAAGGCCCUUUUCUCUGGACCCUGCCCGCAGCGCCAGCCUCCUGCCGCCCUCGUUCCCCCUUCCCUUCCCUGCCUUUCCUG
rnacentral:lncRNA from 1 species